UGCAGUCGAACGAGGUCCAACCUUCGGGUGAAGACCGAGUGGCGAACGGGUGAGUAACACGUGGGGAACCUGCCCUUCUCUCUGGGAUAACUCCGGGAAACCGGAGCUAAUACCGGAUACUCCUUGCGGACCGCAUGGUCUGCUCGGGAAAGCUCCGGCGGAGAAGGAUGGCCCCGCGGCCCAUUAGCUUGUUGGUGGGGUAACGGCCCACCAAGGCGACGAUGGGUAGCCGAGCUGAGAGGCUGAUCGGCCACACUGGGACUGAGACACGGCCCAGACUCCUACGGGAGGCAGCAGUGGGGAAUCUUGCGCAAUGGGCGAAAGCCUGACGCAGCAACGCCGCGUGCGGGAUGAAGGCUCUCGGGUCGUAAACCGCUUUCAGCAGGGAUGAAAAUGACAGUACCUGCAGAAGAAGCCCCGGCUAAAUACGUGCC
rnacentral:rRNA from 1 species